rnacentral:piRNA from 1 species
UCCAACGUGCUAGUUUCUGCAGCCUCCUUG